rnacentral:lncRNA from 1 species
UAAAAGCAGUAGAUUUGCAAAAGCAUUGGCGAACAUUGAAUAAAACACCUUGCUGUAUUUAGAUAUUUACCUGCAUGUUAUGAGUACAGGAUUACCCAAGGUCCACUUUCUGCCCACCAAAUUCACUCUCAACACUUUGGUUGGCCUUGAGGCUGUGGCAGAGAGCGCUUCCUUCAGAGUACCCUCUACUAUAGCAAACUUCUUAGCCAUAUCCGUACCCCUGUGCCGUGGGUCUGCAUCCAGAAUCAUGAACCAUGUCUGUGAAACACAACUAAGGAAGCCUCUUCAUAGAAAGAAACAUGCUCAUUUGUCUGUUUUACAUCCUUGUUUUCAUGCCUGCAUGUAUUUGAGGAACACAUAGUACUGAGGCAUUGAUUCAAGUAUGUAUGUAUAAAUAUCCCUGUCUGCUUCUUUGUUCGAUUUACAUCUUUUCUUCCGUGCUAGCAUUGGUUGGAGGAAAACCUAUUUCUAAGGCAUCGUUUGACUGCUGGAUGCUCUUCCUGUUGCUAACCCUCACCUGUUUUACAAAUGCUGGAUUUCUUUUCUUUGUUUUCCCUUUUUUUUUUUUUUUUGCAUAUAUAUGCUGUGGUUUUCCAAUUCUGUACCCCUGCAUUGUUUAAGGAGUUUGCUAGAGAAGAAAUCAUUUUAAGCAAGUGCCACCCAAACUUAAGAGUGAAUUUGGUAGGCAGAUAUUGAAAAAGAAACUCAUCAUAUAUAUGUGUGUGUGUGUGUGUGUGUGUGUGUGUGUGUGUAUAUGCAUGUACUUAUAUAUGCAUACACACAUGUAUAUAUAAUGCAUGGGCAUUUGUGUUUCCUUGCCUUGGUUCACUCGCUGUCUGUAAACGAGCGUGACUGUCAUAUUGGCGGUGUCGUUUGUUUUACAAUCUUAUGUGAAAAAAGGUACAGACAUGAGCAAAAUAUUACCAUGCUUCGAAACAGAUGAAGAUUGGCAGCAGAUGGAGCCUUGGUCCUUAAAAAAUUUGCCGCAUUGAAUUUUGCCUGACCUGUGCAAGCAUGACAGAGCAGAUGUUGAAAUGAUGACAGCAAUGCAUGUCUCCCUUUCUUACUCUGGAAAAAAUCUCUCUGAAAAUAUGACACAAAGGUGGUGCUCCAGCAUAGCCACAGUCAAAUGACCGAAACAAGUAAAAGAGUACGAACUCUGUGAUUUACAUUAAGUCAACCAAACAGAACCCGUCUAAUUCCUCUCCUGGCUAUGCAAACAGACCAACAGAAGAAACAACAGUGUUGGUCUCACUCCUUGUAUGCUAACGAAGCAUUUGUUGAUUCUGCUGUGCUCCCACUGACUGCUGCAAUUAUCUUCGUACUCCCCGGCACCACUUCUGUUUGGUCUCUUUUCACAACUAUUAUAAUGUUGGCAGAGUUGGUGGGGCAUCAAACAUAAUGCCUUGUGGUAUUUAUGCUUGACUCUUUGCAUUCCGAGUUCAAAUUUUACCAGGGAAUGCCAAGUACUGGUCAGAUACUGGGGUUCUUCCCAAAAUUUGAGAUGUUGCCAUAUAAAAAUAAAUCAGUAUUACAAUCUAAAUGCUGUUCUUUAUAAGUAGGAUUUGAGAAGUAUGCCCUUCUGCUACCCUUCUGCAGUAUCUAUUUACAGUUAAGCAGACUGUUCAUUUGAUAGUUUUGUGUUCCAGCUGUUGGGUUCGGUGCCCCCUUGUGACAGCUUAAAAAUGUGUGUAAACCUUUGCAGUACGCAGCGCUGUACCGACUGCAUCAUCUAUGACUCCUGUUACCUUUCGUUAAAUACAUUUAUUUGCAGCUGUUCCUGUGGCACCUGUAGAGAAUUAGUUUCAAAAACUGAGUCAAAGAAGUACAGCUCCAUGGGUCCACAAUUCUUCGGAAACACACUUUUCCUGCCAUGCUUAUAUUUGCCUGUGCGCACACAUGCACGCACACAUGCACACACAGACACAUACUCUGGUAGCCAUCUUGGACAUCCCCUGUACCUCUCCUGUCAUUGGGAUUCUUAUCAGUCUGACAAGAAGGGAUUCAUUAGGGGCCUUGAAACUUGAAGUAGCACAGUAUCCAAAUCAAACGGUUUUGAAAAGUACACGCAAACCAAUAAAUGUGCUGAGUGCCCUUUCUUUCAUUUGACCACUCAUAUAUAUGUAUGUAUGUGCAUGUGUGUGUGUAUGUAUGUAUGUAUGUAUGGCAUUCAACACAUUUAGUAAGAUUUACAUAUUAUUUUUAGUAAUAGUUUCACUCUAAGUUUUGUGGGUGCAUAAGACGGACACAUCUGAUCAGCUACCUGGAGAUUCUUCUCCCGAUGUCUGUUGAGACAGAUCCAUCCUAUACGCACAUGAAACUUAGAGUGAGCCGAGUGAAACUAUUAUUAAAGAAUAUAUUUAACUCCCACCAAAUGUGUUGAUUGCCACUUUCUUUUGUAUGUCCACUGAUAUAUAUAUAUAUAUAUAUAUAUAUAUAUAUAUAUAUAUAUAUAUAUAUAUAUAAGAAGUAAUCAGUAAUUUCGGAAUAGCUAAGAUUUUUUGACUGCUAUUUCUAAACUUCGGUAUGUGGUGAAGCAAAUCUCUGCUGAACCCUAAUUAUAAAGUAUAUAUAUAUAUAUAUAUAUAUAUAUACAUACACACACACACACACACAUAUGCGCAGAGAAAGAGUGUGUGUUGAAGUGAUGUACAGAUACAGUAUUGUAUAUUAAGGAAAAGGAAGUAGUCAGAAUUUUGGAUAAUUCUUUAUUCAGUGUUUUCAUCCAUUAACGAGGACUUAAAUCUUCACGAAUGAACAAAAGCACUAAGGAAGUAUUCGAAAUUCUGACUGCUUCCUUUUUCUUAUAAUAUUAUUAUUAUUAUUAUUAUUAUUAUUAUUAUCCAUGGCUUUAUGGUUAAGAAGUUCAUUUCCUGCCUGCGUGGUUUCAAGCUCAGUCUUGCCCUGUAUGGUACCUUGGGCAAGAGUCUUCUACUAUGAUUCUAGGCUAACUAAGGCCUUGUGAGUGAAUUUAAUUAAUGGAAACUGAAAGAAGCUUGUCCUAUAUAUGUAUGUGGUGUAUAUAUAUAUAUAUAUACAUAUAUAUAUAUAUUUUGAGUGUGGUCAGCUGGCAGAAACGUUAGCAUGCCAGGCGAAAUACCUUGUGGUACUUUGUCUGCUGUUACGUUCUGAGUUCAAAUUCCGCUGAGGUCUACUUGGCCUUUCAUCCUUUUCAGGGUUGAUUAAAUAAGUACCAGUUAUGCACUGGGGGUCGAUGUAAUCGACUUAAUCCCGUUGUCUGUCCUUGUUUAUCCCCUCUGUGUUUAUUCCCCUGUGGGCAAUAAAGAAAUAUAUAUAUAUAUAUAUAUAUAUUUAUAUUUAUGUGUUUGUGUGUGCUCUUAAUAUGUACUAAUUGUAAAUAUCACUGUCACACAAAAGCUGUUGCUUGCUAUCUUCUGUGAAAACAUGCCUGGCCAUUGUGCUGUUUGCUUGAAAAUAGAUGAGGGUUGGCAACAGGGAGAGCAUCCAGCGAUGUAAAAUCUGCCUCGGGGAAUUUUGUCAGAGCCAUGCAAGCGUGGUAAAGUGGACAUUACAGCAACAGUGGUGUCAAUUGUUUUUAAAUGUUCCAUGUGCUCCACAUGUCUGUCCACAUCUACCGCGUUAUAUGGGUUCUUAGGAUGGCUGUCAUGGUGGACUACACUCCACGAGAAAGGGUUGCCAGCCCCUAGCUAAAUCCUCCCCUAUAUGUUGGAGGGGUAGGGACACAGUAAGUGGUCCUAACGACUCUCUAGAAACAUGGUUGAAGCAGUUCUGAGAGAGGAAGAGCAGAAUCGAACAGAAUGUUACUGACCCCGAAACAGAUGGAAAGAAAAGUUGUCUUCAGCAAAGUUUCAACUCAUCAAAAUGCACCUUGCUGGAAAAUAACGCAAGCCAAGUGUCUGCUGCUCUAACAAUGCUUCUAAUUGACUGCUCUGUGUAUCAAAUUUACAUGCACACAUACAUACAUAUAUUUACAUACAUAUAUACAUACACUCAUACAAAUUUGCAACAGCCCCAUAACUAACAUCUCAGCUAUAACCUUGGAGCCCUAGUAAUCUGUUACAACACUUACCUUGCAUACCUAAUUGUUUAGAUCACCUGUGAACUAAACCCCCAUACUUAUACAUACAAAUAUAUAUAUAUAUAUAUAUAUAUAUACACACACAUGCAUACACUCACACACACAUACAUUACUUGAAGCCGAUGAUGCACUUUGUCUUUGUGCAUUUAUAUAUACACACAUAUAUAUAUAUAUGUGUGUGUGUGUAUAUAUAUAUGUGUGUGUAUGUAUAUAUAUAUGUGUAUAUAUAUAUAUAUAAAAAGCAUGAACCUCAUAUCACUCUCACUCUCUCUGUUAUAUAUAUAUAUAUAUAUAUAAACUUACCUGAAUAAUAUAUACACUUGAACAAAACAAUAAUAUCAGUAAAAAUUUUCCUCUCCGAACAAAACCUUCACAUUUUUUCAUUUUGUUCAUUUUAAUUAAUUUUAAAAUUAUUGGGUUUUCUUAUUUUCCUCCUCUCUUCAUCCCCACCUCUAUCUAGCUGUUGUUUUUUUUUUACCUUAAUUUAUAUAUUAUGUUCUAAAAUUGUAUUAUUUAAAAAAAAAGAUUUAUUAUGAUUGUUAUUGCUGUUGUUUGUUGUUGAGUUCAAAUCCCAUCAGGGGUCGACUUUGCCUUUCAUCUUCCAGGGGUCUUCUACUGGCGCCAGUAUAAUCAUCAGUUCCUAACCUCAAAAUUUCUGGCCUUGUUCCUCUGUAAGGAAUCAUCAUCAUCAUUAUUAUUAUUUUAUUAUUUUAUUAUUAUGAUGAAGGUACUGAGCUGAUUGAAUCGUGUGUCAGAAAAAAAAUGCCUUGUAUUUUUCCCCAGACCUUUAUAUUCUGAGUUCAAAUCCUGUCAAAGUCAGCUUCACCUUUCAUCCCUCUGGCACUCUGGAGCCGAUAAAAUAAAGCACCCAACAAAUACUGGGCUUGAUGCAGUCCACUUGCUCCUACCUUCCCUCCAAAAAUUUCAAGCCCUUUUGCUUCUAGUAGAAAGAAUCCUUCUUCUUAUUAUUAUUAAGGUGGUGUGAGCUGGCAGAAUUGUUAGCACACCAGGCAAAAUGCUGCUGAGCGUUUUGCCCAUCUUUGCGUCCCAUGUUCAAAUUAUGCCGAGGAUUGACUUCACCUUUCACCCUUUUUACUCUCAAUAAGUACUAGUUGGGUACUGGGGUCAAUGGAAUUGACUUACCCCUUCCCUCGAGACCGCUGGCUUUAUGCCAAAAUUUGAAAUCAUGAAUAUUAUUAUUAUUAUUAUUAACAUGCAAGCAGUGGGCUAGCAGAAUCAUUAAAAUUUUAGGGGAAAAAUGCUUUAUGGCAUUCAUUCUGGGUUCAAAUUCUACUGGGGUCAACUAUGCCUAUUAUACUUUUGGGGUCCGAUGAAAUGAAGUACCAGUCAAAUACUGGGAAUAAUGGUAUUAAAGAACCCUCUUCCACUCAAAAUUAAUGGGUUUUUAUGCCUAAAUCAGAAAUGGUUAUUAUUAUUAUUAUUAUUAUUAUUAUUAUCAUUAUUAUUAUUAUUAUUAAGGUGUUAAGCUGGCAGCAUUGUUAGCACGCCCGAUGAAAUGCUUGGUGGUAUUUUACUUGUCUGCCGUUAUGUUCUGAGUUCAAAUUCCACCGAGGUCAACUUUGCCUUUCAUCCUUUCGGGGUCGAUGAAAUAAGUACAGUUACGCACUGGGGUCGAUAUGAUCGAUUUAAUCGUUUGUCUGUCCUUGUUCGUCCUCUCUGUGUUUAGCCCCUUGUGGGUAGUAAAGAAAUAGGUAUUUUACCUGUUGCUGCAUUCUGAGUUCAAAUACCACCAAGGUCGAUUUUUGCCUUUCAUCCUUUUGGAGUUGAUAAAUUAAGUACCAGUGAAACACUGGGGUUGAUGGAAUUGACUUAUCCCUUCCUCCAAAAUGGCUGCUCUUGUGGCAAAAUUUGAAAUUAUUAUUAUUACUAUUAUUAUUAUCAUUAUUAGGGUGUUGGAUUGACAGAUUCAUAAAUAAAAGCAUUGAACAAAAUGCUUUGUGUCCUCAUAUCACGAUCAUUACGAUCACUUUCAACUGCCUUUUUGUAGGUCAUUUCUGGUGGUUUAUCUUAUUUUGAGUUCAAUUCCUACCUAGACCAACUUGACCAUUUUUCUUUCCAGGGUUAAUAAGAUAAAGUACUAGUCUAGUACUUGACUGAUAUAAUCGACUACUGCCUCCCUGCAAACUUCUGGCUUUGUGCCUAUAUAAAAAAAUUAUUGCUAUUUUUAUGGUGAUGGGGUGAUGGAAUAUGUAGAACGUCGCUUAAAAUACUUGAUGUUUAGUUACAUCUGUUUAUACUCUAAGCUCUAACCCUUCUGGGUUGACUAUGCUUUUAAAUUUUUAGAGUUGGUAAAUCAUAGAACCAGUCAAUUAUUGGGAUUGAUAUAAUCAACUUUAUUCUUCAACUUUUAACCUCUAAAAAAAAAAAAAAACUUUGGGACUUUGUGCCCCAUGUUAGAAACAGGUUAUCAUCAUUACUAUGGCGGCAAGCUAGCAGAAACAUUAGCACGCUGGGCGAAAUGCUUAGGAGUAUUUCGUCUGUCUUUACAUUCUGGGUUCAAAUUACGCCGAGGUCGACUUUGCCUUUUAUCCUUUAAGGGUCGAUAAAUUAAGUACCAGUUGCAUUCUGGGGUCGAUCUAAUCGACUGCCCCCCCCCCCCUUCCCUCAAAAUUUCAAGCCUUGUGCAUAGAGUAAAAAACGAAUAUUAUUAUUAAUAUUAUUAUCAUUAUUAUUAUUAUUAUUAUUAUUAUUAUUAAGGUGGUGAGCUGGCAGAAUCAUUAGCAUGCUGGGCAAAAUGCUAAGUGGCAUUAUUUUGUCUCUCUUCAUGCUCUGGGUUCAAAUUCCACCGAGGUCGACUUUGCCUUUCAUCCUUUCGGGGGGUUGAUAAAUUCAAGUACCACUUCCACACUGGGGUCAGUGUAAUUAACUAAGUCUCCUCCCCAACAAAAUUUCAGACUUAGUAACCUUUAGUAGAAAGGAUUAUCAUUAUUAAUUAAAGGUGGUGAUCUGUCAGAAUUUGUUAGAAGCUGGACAAAAUGCUUAGCAGUAAUUCUUUCUGCGUUCGACUUCCACCAAGGUCAUCUUUCAUCCUUUCGGGGUCAAUAAAACCAGUACCAGCUGUUAACUGGGGUUGAUAUAAUCACAAUCAACUAGUUCCUUCCCCACAGAUAUUUCAAGCCUUCUGCCUAUUCUAGAAAAGAUUUAUAUCAUUAUUAUUAUUACCAUUAUUAUUAUUAUCAUUAUUAUUAUUAUUAUUAUUAUUAUUAUUAUUACUACUACUACUACUGCUAUUACAAUAAUUACCAAAUUCUUUUUGGAGCCUACUUAUUUCUGUUAGAAUUCGAUCGAAAUACUUGGAUUAAUAAUCAAAUCAAUUUUAUUAAUUUGAAUUUGGUUUCAUUUGUAACUUUUUUUUUUUUUUGUUUUCAACAAAUUUUUUUUCUCUUAUUUCAAAACAAACAAAAAAAUAAUGGAAUGUAAAAAAAAAUGAAUGAAUAAAUAAAUAAAUGUUAAAAAAUAAAAUAAAAUAAAAUAAAAUGAUUAAUGUU